CCUUAUCAGAAGAGACAGGAACAAGAAACGGCAUUCACCAAAAUCAAGGAAGAAGGCUGCAGCCAGAGAGAAAGGGAGGCUUACCUGCAGAGGGGGCUGGGAUGCAGCCGGGAAGGGAGAGACAGUGUCCAGAGGCAGCGAUCACAGGACCACAAAAACUUCCCUGCAAAAGUUCAGCUUUGAUCACGUUAAUGGAAACCAUAAACUGGAUCAUUUGACCAUCAGACCUUGUUAUAUGGGAUCCAAGUGCAGCCUCAAGACCUUUGUCAUAUCCAUUAAAUAAUUUACCCAGCAAACACAUACAUUUGAAGAUGAAAGCCCAUGUACCUGGCAAGAUUGUUGAUGGUGUGUCUGUCUCCUGCAGCACUUCCCAGUCACUCCUACAAGCCAUGGAAGCAAAGUGCUCCUGCUUUUGGUUUAUUCAUCUCCCUGCUCUGUUCCUGGGUGGUCUGUCUGCAUUCCCCACCCAUCUCCUCCUCCACUCCUGACCCUCCACUACUGGGACUGGGGUGGAGAAGGCAGGCAUGCUGCUAACAGUUUUCCGUAUGAUUUUAAUAGAAAAACACUGUUCCACAUAAUCCUCUAACAUAGGUAGCACCUGGUACCACCGCCACCAAAAAACAUUCAUUGUGUAGACCAAAAACCAUAUUCAGGACAGAAAUUUUCUAUUUUUUCACCCAGUUAUACAUGGUACUUCAAUAUGACUCUGAGACUCUUUGGAGCCCAACUAGUAAGAACACUGUAAACAUUUUCCAGACUAAAAAAAAAAAAAAAAAAACGUUUAAAUCAUUGUUUUUAGACCAAGCAAAAGGGUAAGAAUGCAGAAUGGUCAAAAGGAUUCAAACAUCUAACACCCAGAAAAAUGGUGUGGGACGGGUGGGGGAAUUUACUACCAGUGGAGUGUCAUUCACGGAGUCACACUAACUUGACUUCUGCCACUUUUCCGACUGCCCUAGAAGAGUCACUCCACUCAGAGCCAUCUCACCCUCUCUCCAAUCCUUCAGUGGCCAUGCACACAGCUGCCCCAUCAGCCUAGUGGCCUCUCUUUCCUUCUUAGGGAAGAAAUGUUUCAUGGGACUGUUAUGAAGAGGUGGCAGAUGCAGAAAAGGAAAUAAAGCUGUAGUAGAGUGAGCAGAGCAGUUUUAGAUCAUUAGUAAACCUGAGUUCAAGUCUGGGCUCUAACAUGUUCUGGCUAUGACCUCUGAGUAAAUCGAUUACUUCUUCAGCCUGAUUACCUGUAAAACAGUGCUUCCUUUGUUCAUCAGAAGGUAUCUAGUGAGUACUUAUUAUAUGCCAAGCAUUGUCCUAAGUGCCCCAUAGUGCCAGGAAAGGGGGUGAGUUCUGUUUCAAAGUAGUUCAGAGAACUCACUGAGAAGGUGAUAUUUUGAGUAAACACUUGAAAGAAAUGAGAGCGAACCAGGAGAACUCUGAGGUCUUUGUCCAGCGCAAUUGAAAGAAUCGUGUUGCCAUUAACCAAUGAGAUGGGAGAGCAGAGGGAGGGACUGAGAGGGAGGAGCGAAGAUAUAGAAUUUAGUAAUGAUAAUAUUUGCCCUUCCUCCCUCACAGAAUUAAAUGCAAUGACUAAUGUGCAAUUUACCCUGCAAAUAUACUUUUCUGUUGCUAGUAUUCUCCUUUCCUGUUCGGAAGCAACCUAUCCCAUGGACAUUCCUUUCUGCCCCACAGGUUCUACUUGGUGGCGAGGAAGUGUUCCUAGCACGUGGAGUCUUGCAUCUGGCAGCACAGGUUUUAUCUUUACCAAUGAAGCACUUGAAACACUUUGCUGAGUCUUCACAACUGCUUUAGGAAUCAGAGACCCAAAGUUUCAGGAACCAUCAGGAAGGCUGGACUGAAUAAGGGAAGGAGGAAGAAAAAAAAAGAGCAGAAGCUAUGACUUAUCCUUCAAGCUUGGCUAGUUAUUUCCCCUGUCACCUCAUCAGGCAGAUAUAUUUAGACCCACCCUUGAAUUAAUAAGUGGUUUCCUGGGAAGGGUGAUUUAAAACUCUGGUGCUUGAAAUUCUGCUAUUAGUCCUGUAAAUUCCUUUAGAUUAAAAGUUAUUUGCUCUCAUGGGGCCUCUGGAAUGCAGUUUCCUCUGGAGUGCAGAUACCUCUGAGUGAAAUAAUGUAUCAGGUCCCUAAUACCUCAGUAUAUAAUUGAGUGUAUUAAAUCGCUUCCUUUGUUAUCUGAUGGGCAAGAUUGGACCCUGGGAAUUUAGAAGGCCAUGGAGAUCCCACUCAACUCAGCCCUGGCCAGCCUUGAAUGUGUACUUUUCUUCUAAGAAAUUCCAAUUGUUAUUGUUUUCCUAGAAGACAAUAAAAAAGACAUCCUGUUGAUGUCUAAAAGAACUGCAAAUGUAAAAAAUAAAAAGUAACAUUUUAAUUCGAUUUCUUUCCCAAGAACCAGAACAUCCUCCUGGCCUAUAACAUAGCCCUCACUUUACCCCUCUGGUGCUGGAGGCUUUUGUGUCUCAUUUUUAUUCGACUCACACAUGUCUGGGGAGAGGGCCCUCUGAGAUUUCAUCUUGGCUGUGCUUCAGGCUCCAUAAUAGGAAUGGAUCCACAUUUUUUAAUACAAGGAGGGCAGGUGGCAGCAAGCCAAAGUGGCCUCUGUGGAGUAUGUGUGCAGGAGUGGUGUUUUUAGUGUGCAUUGAAAAAUCAGGAGCCAGACAAGACAAAAGCCCAUGCUGGCAGUGUGCCCCUAUGAAGGGUAUCUGUACCAAGACUUAAAAAAAAAGGAAAUUAAUGCAUUUUCUUUUCUAUUGAAUUAAGUUCUGUACCAGCUUUUGUUCCUAGGUACACUGUGUGGAGUGUGUGUGUGUGUGUGUGUGUGUGUGUGUGUGUGUGUACAGACAUACACACAGACUAGUUGCUUCCAUAGCUGCCUGAAAAAUCACACAAGCAAGCUAUAGAACUUGAACCCAGAGUGUUAAGUGGGCAACUGAGUGAUCAUCUACAAGUCUUUCAAGAGGAAAGGAAGUAUCAUUGUCUUUGUUAAUAAUUUGUCUCCUUUUGAAGUUUACAAAUAUAUUUGUGUCAACCCAUAAUCCAAGAAUGUUAAUUAAUUGCCUAACUGGAUGAAUCUCUCUAUAAUAUGGAUUUAUUUUAAACACAAGUAGUUAGUAAGAAAUACUAAAAUUGAUUUGGAUGUGCAGUAAGUCCCAUUAUUCUGUGGUAUAGACCACACAUUCGAAAUGCAGUAUCACAUAAUUUCGCUCUCCAUUUCA